rnacentral:rRNA from 1 species
GUGCCAGCAGCCGCGGUAAUACGUAGGUGGCAAGCGUUGUCCGGAUUUAUUGGGCGUAAAGCGAGCGCAGGCGGUUCUUUAAGUCUGAUGUGAAAGCCUUCGGCUCAACCGAAGAAGUGCAUCGGAAACUGGGAAACUUGAGUGCAGAAGAGGACAGUGGAACUCCAUGUGUAGCGGUGAAAUGCGUAGAUAUAUGGAAGAACACCAGUGGCGAAGGCGGCUGUCUGGUCUGUAACUGACGCUGAGGCUCGAAAGUAUGGGUAGCAAACAGGAUUAGAUACCCUGGUAGUCCAUACCGUAAACGAUGAAUGCUAAGUGUUGGAGGGUUUCCGCCCUUCAGUGCUGCAGCUAACGCAUUAAGCAUUCCGCCUGGGGAGUACGGCCGCAAGGCUGAAACUCAAAGGAAUUGACGGGGGCCCGCACAAGCGGUGGAGCAUGUGGUUUAAUUCGAAGCUACGCGAAGAACCUUACCAGGUCUUGACAUACUAUGCAAAUCUAAGAGAUUAGACGUUCCCUUCGGGGACAUGGAUACAGGUGGUGCAUGGUUGUCGUCAGCUCGUGUCGUGAGAUGUUGGGUUAAGUCCCGCAACGAGCGCAACCCUUAUUAUCAGUUGCCAGCAUUAAGUUGGGCACUCUGGUGAGACUGCCGGUGACAAACCGGAGGAAGGUGGGGAUGACGUCAAAUCAUCAUGCCCCUUAUGACCUGGGCUACACACGUGCUACAAUGGAUGGUACAACGAGUUGCGAACUCGCGAGAGUAAGCUAAUCUCUUAAAGCCAUUCUCAGUUCGGAUUGUAGGCUGCAACUCGCCUACAUGAAGUCGGAAUCGCUAGUAAUCGCGGAUCAGCAUGCCGCGGUGAAUACGUUCCCGGGCCUUGUACACACCGCCCGU